GACGAACGCUGGCGGCGUGCUUAACACAUGCAAGUCGAACGGAAAGGCCUGCUUUCCCUUGUGGAUUGCGGGUACUCGAGUGGCGAACGGGUGAGUAACACGUGAGUGAUCUGCCCCCAACUUGGGUAUAAGCCUGGGAAACUGGGUCUAAUUCCCGAUAGGACUGCAGGGUGGUGCCUGUGGUGGAAAACGAUUUUCUAGUGGUUGGGGAUGAGCUCGCGGCCUAUCAGCUUGUUGGUGGGGUAAUGGCCUACCAAGGCGGCGACGGGUAGCCGGCCUGGGAGGGUGGACGGCCACAGUGGGACUGAGAUACGGCCCAGACGCCUACGGGAGGCAGCAGUGGGGAAUAUGGCACAAUGGGCGGAAGCCUGAUGCAGCGACGCCGCGUGGGGGAUGACGGCCUUCGGGUGGUAAACUCCUUUCGACCGCGAGGAAGCCACCUGGUUGGAAGGGUGGUGACGGUAGUGGUAGAAGAAGCACCGGCUAACUACGUG
rnacentral:rRNA from 1 species